rnacentral:rRNA from 1 species
UCUCGUAGCUUGCUAUGAGAACAGUUAGUGGCAGACGGGUGAGUAAUGCAUAGGAAUCUACCUAGUAGUAUAGGAUAGCCACUAGAAGUGGUGGGUAAUACUGUAUAAUCCCUGCGGGGGAAAGAUUUAUCGCUACAUGAUGAGCCUAUGUUAGAUUAGCUAGUUGGUGGGGUAAUGGCCUACCAAGGCAGUGAUCUAUAGCUGGUCUGAGAGGAUGAUCAGCCACACUGGAACUGAGACACGGUCCAGACUCCUACGGGAGGCAGCAGUGGGGAAUAUUGGACAAUGGGCGCAAGCCUGAUCCAGCUAUGCCGCGUGAGUGAGGAAGGCCUUAGGGUUGUAAAACUCUUUCAGUGGGGAAGAUAAUGACGGUACCCACAGAAGAAGUCCCGGCAAACUCCGUGCCAGCAGCCGCGGUAAUACGGAGGGGGCAAGCGUUGUUCGGAAUUAUUGGGCGUAAAGGGCAUGUAGGUGGUUUGGUUAGUUAAAGGUGAAAUGCCAGGGCUUAACCCUGGAGCUGCUUUUAAUACUGCCAGACUGGAGUCCGGGAG